rnacentral:misc_RNA from 1 species
AAGAUGCCGGCAGCCGUGAAUUGGGGUGGACAAUCUCAUAAAUUUGUAAGCAAGAACACACACAUGGUGAGGGAUGAAUUGCAUAUAGUCAAUGGAUUAUAUGUUUAAUUAAUUUUAUAAUUUAUUUAUUUUUUUCCUAAAUAAAUAAGUAGAGAAGAAAAGAGAGAUGAAGAUGAAGAAGAAGAGAGAGAGUUUCAGGUUCAAAAAAUAAAUAAAAAUGAGAAUAGCUAGUGCUGUAUUUUUCUUUUAUUUUUCAUAGUGGUGUAAAUGUUAGAAUUUGGAAAAAUGUUUUUCUUUUUUUAUGGCUGAAUAUUUUCCAAAUUUCCAUGGCUGGAUUUUAAAGGGUUGAUGCAGAAAGAGAGUAAAGAUCAACGAGAAGAAAAGAAAAAAAGAAAAAAAAGAACAGCUACUCCUACUCAGUUUUAUUGUUCAUUUAAAUAUUCAUAAGAUGAUCCCACUGGAACACCACAAUCUAGGUGAUAGUUCAGGA